rnacentral:rRNA from 1 species
UACGGGGGGGGCAAGCGUUGUUCGGAAUUACUGGGCGUAAAGGGCUCGUAGGCGGCCAACUAAGUCGGACGUGAAAUCCCUCGGCUUAACCGAGGAACUGCGUCCGAUACUGGAUGGCUAGAGUGUGGGAGAGGGAUGCGGAAUUCCAGGUGUAGCGGUGAAAUGCGUAGAUAUCUGGAGGAACACCGGUGGCGAAGGCGGCAUCCUGGACCACGACUGACGCUGAGUGAGCGAAAGCCAGGGGAGCAAACGGG